rnacentral:rRNA from 1 species
UACGGAGGGUGCAAACGUUGCUCGGAAUCAUUGGGCGUAAAGCGCACGUAGGCGGCCUGAUAAGUCGGGUGUGAAAGCCCUGGGCUCAACCCAGGAAGUGCACACGAAACUGUCAGGCUUGAAUAUGGAAGAGGGUCGCGGAAUUCCCGGUGUAGAGGUGAAAUUCGUAGAUAUCGGGAGGAACACCAGUGGCGAAGGCGGCGACCUGGGCCA